rnacentral:rRNA from 1 species
UACGUAGGGGGCAAGCGUUGUCCGGAAUCAUUGGGCGUAAAGCGCGUGUAGGCGGCUGACUAAGUCCGCUCUGAAAGCCCGGGGCUCAACCCCGGGAGGCGGGUGGAUACUGGUCAGCUCGAGUCCGGAAGAGGAGUGUGGAAUUCCUGGUGUAGCGGUGAAAUGCGCAGAUAUCAGGAGGAACACCAAUGGCGAAGGCAGCUCGCUGGGACGGUACUGACGCUGAGACGCGAAAGCGUGGGGAGCAAACAGG